UCCACUAAGGCCAAGACUUUGUAAGCAAGC
rnacentral:piRNA from 1 species